GAGGUAACUGAAUCAUGGGGGUGGGUCUUUCCUGUGCUGUUCUCAUGAUAGUGAAUAAGUCUCACAAGGUCUGAUGGUUUCAUGAAGGGGAGUUUCCCUGCAUAAGUUUUCUCUCUUGCUGCAGCCAUGUAAGAAGUGCCUUUCGCCUUCUGCGGUGAAUGUGAGGCCUCACCAGCCACGUGGAACUUUUUUCAAGAUGGAAGUCACUGGUGACUUUAUAAGAGAAGAUACAUAAAAAUAGCAGAAUGCAAGCCUGAUGGGACUGGGCAAAAUGAAGUGGCUGCAUGGACAGAUUAUGAAGAACAUGGCAAAUGGAAAGAGUCUUCGAUAUUAUUCAUGGCUGCAGCCUGAAAGGGUCUUUACUGCAAGAGUUGCCGUGGAAGCAGGAAGA
rnacentral:lncRNA from 1 species